GCAAACGUUGCUCGGAAUUAUUGGGCGUAAAGCGCGCGUAGGCGGCUACUUAAGUCGGAUGUGAAAGCCCUUGGCUCAACUGAGGAAGUGCACCCGAAACUGAGUGGCUUGAGUACUAAAGAGGGUCGCGGAAUUCCCGGUGUAGAGGUGAAAUUCGUAGAUAUCGGGGGGAACACCGGUGGCGAAGGCGGCGACCUGGGUAGAUACUGACGCUGAGGCGCGAAAGCGUGGGGAGCAAACAGG
rnacentral:rRNA from 1 species